CGCGGUAAUACGUAGGGUGCAAGCGUUGUCCGGAAUUACUGGGCGUAAAGAGUUCGUAGGCGGUUUGUCGCGUCGUUUGUGAAAACCAGCAGCUCAACUGCUGGCUUGCAGGCGAUACGGGCAGACUUGAGUACUGCAGGGGAGACUGGAAUUCCUGGUGUAGCGGUGAAAUGCGCAGAUAUCAGGAGGAACACCGGUGGCGAAGGCGGGUCUCUGGGCAGUAACUGACGCUGAGGAACGAAAGCGUGGGUAGCGAACAGGAUUAGAUACCCUGGUAGUCCACGCCGUAAACGGUGGGCGCUAGGUGUGGGUUCCUUCCACGGAAUCCGUGCCGUAGCUAACGCAUUAAGCGCCCCGCCUGGGGAGUACGGCCGCAAGGCUAAAACUCAAAGGAAUUGACGGGGGCCCGCACAAGCGGCGAAGCA
rnacentral:rRNA from 1 species